rnacentral:tRNA from 1 species
GGGCCCGUGGCUCAGCUUGGUUAGAGCGUCCGGCUGAUAACCGGGAGGUCCUGGGUUCGAAUCCCAGCGGGCCCA